CUACGGGGUGCUGCAGUGGGGAAUCUUAGACAAUGGGGGAAACCCUGAUCUAGCGAUGCCGCGUGAGUGAUGAAGGCCUUAGGGUCGUAAAGCUCUUUCGCCAGGGAAGAUAAUGACUGUACCUGGUAAAGAAACCCCGGCUAACUCCGUGCCAGCAGCCGCGGUAAUACGGAGGGGGUUAGCGUUGUUCGGAAUUACUGGGCGUAAAGCGCACGUAGGCGGAUCAGAAAGUUAGAGGUGAAAUCCCAGGGCUCAACCCUGGAACUGCCUUUAAAACUCCUGGUCUUGAGUUCGAGAGAGGUGAGUGGAAUUCCAAGUGUAGAGGUGAAAUUCGUAGAUAUUUGGAGGAACACCAGUGGCGAAGGCGGCUCACUGGCUCGAUACUGACGCUGAGGUGCGAAAGCGUGGGGAGCAAACAGGAUUAGAUACCCCCGUAGUC
rnacentral:rRNA from 1 species